UACGAAGGGGGCUAGCGUUGCUCGGAAUUACUGGGCGUAAAGGGAGCGUAGGCGGAUAGUUUAGUCAGAGGUGAAAUCCCGGGGCUCAACCUCGGAUCUGCCUUUGAUACUGGCUAUCUUGAGUAUGGGAGAGGUGUGUGGAACUCCGAGUGUAGAGGUGAAAUUCGUAGAUAUUCGGAAGAACACCAGUGGCGAAGGCGACACACUGGCCCAUUACUGACGCUGAGGCUCGAAAGCGUGGGGAGCAAACAGG
rnacentral:rRNA from 1 species